UGGAGAAGCGUCCUCAGCGA
rnacentral:snRNA from 1 species